GACGAACGCUGGCGGCGUGCCUAAUACAUGCAAGUAGGACGCAGUUGCGAACGGGUGAGUAAAGCGUAGGUAACUGCCUAUUAGAGGGGGAUAACUAUUGGAAACGAUAGCUAAUACCGCAUACUAGUAGAUGGACCUGCGUUGUAUUAGCUAGUAGGUAGGGUAAUGGCCUACCUAGGCAACGAUACAUAGCCGAACUGAGAGGGUGCUCGGCCACACGGGGACUGAGAAACGGCCCAGACUCCUACGGGAGGCAGCAGGUGGGAAUCUUCUGCAAUGGGGGGAAACCUGAACGAGCAACGCCGCGUGAGUGAAGAAGGUUUUCGGAUCGUAAAGCUCUGUUGUUAAGGAAGCGGUACUUAACCAGAAAGGGACGGCUAACUACGUGCCAGCAGCCGCGGUAAUUC
rnacentral:rRNA from 1 species